rnacentral:rRNA from 1 species
GACAUUUGGUAGAGGCUGUUGAAGCCACCUGGUCCCAGCAGACCCCAGAAAACGGUCACAUUCGCUGGUACUGGGACAAGGUGGCAACGUACAGGGUGAAGCCUGGUGCCAGAUGUGU